GCCGUCAUGAAGUAGCGGGAGAGGGGCAGGAGGGAGCGAGGGUGUCCCCCUUUAAUUGGUCCCGCUGCGGCGACGAGGAGUGCUGGCCGGGCACAAGUCCCGUGUGCGGUGUGCGCCGGGAUGAUGCUGGAGCAAGACACCGGGCUCUCCUUGGCCAUCGCUCAGAUCGUGCAGCGGCUGAAGGGCUCCAGCCUCCACUCCCAGCUGGAGCGGCAGGCCCGGGGUAGUCUGCACAAACCAGAAAUUAAACUUGAAUCAUUAAAGGAAGAUAUUAAGGAAUUUCUGAAGACCUCAGGAUGGGAAAAGAGGCUUCAGAAUGCUGUUUAUAGUGAACUCAAUGUAUUCCCUUCACCAUGUCAUCCUGCAGCACCCCCUGAGCACAUGAAAGAACCCUUAGUUUACAUGAGGAAAGCACAGGGAAGCUGGGAGAAGCGAAUUCUGAAGAGUCUAAAUAGCAUGUGCACAGAACUCAGUAUCCCAUUAGCACGAAAGAGACCUAUAGGAGAGCAAAAAGAACUUCUUAAUAAAUGGAAUGAAAUGGGAACUGAUGAGCCAGAUCUAAGUCUUUUCCGACCUGUUUAUGCACCUAAAGAUUUUCUUGAGGUACUGAUGAAUCUUCGCAACCCAAAUUAUGAAAAUGGGGAUCAGCCUAGUUUCAAAAAUCACCUGGGUCUAAUUCAGGUUCCUCUGAAAGUUAAAGACAUCCCUGAAUUGAGAGACUAUUUCAGUGAGCUAGGCUUGAAUACAGGACAGCUGGGUAUUGAUGAUUCCACACAAGUGCCCCCAGAACUCUUUGAAAAUGAACAUGUACGUGUUGGGCAGACAGUUUUAACGGAACAAGAUAGUGCUGCAGCCCAGCAGUAUGUCCGUCAGGGGUGCCCAACAGCACUCCGAGCUGAAUUAUGGGCACUCAUUCUGAAUAUUUCUAAUCAGCCUGAGGACGUUUUGUAUUACGAACAGCUUAAGUCCAAUGUGAUUCAGCAUGAUCUUUUAGUGGACAGCCUGAUUUACAAAGAUGUAAAGCUGACAGCGAGCAACGAUGACUACUAUUUUGUAUUUGAGGAUUAUUUAUAUCAGGUAUUACUCUGUUUUUCCCGAGAUACAUCAGUAUUGGAGCACUUUUCUUACAAUAGCGCUACUCCACCCAAAUCAUACAUACGAGGAAAACUCGGCAUGGAAGAAUAUGCUGUUUUUUAUCCACCAAAUGGUGUAAUUCCUUUUCAUGGCUUUUCAAUGUAUGUUGCUCCACUUUGUUUUCUGUACCAUGAACCUUCCAAAUUGUAUCAGAUAUUCCGUGAGAUGUAUGUGCGUUUUUUCUUCAGACUCCAUUCCAUAUCUUCUCAUCCUUCUGGCAUCGUGUCACUAUGUUUGCUGUUUGAGACCCUCCUUCAAACCCAUCUCCCUCAGCUCUUCUACCAUCUUCGAGAAAUUGGGGCGCAACCACUACGAAUAUCGUUUAAAUGGAUGGUACGAGCAUUCUCUGGUUACUUAGCUACAGACCAACUUCUGCUUUUGUGGGACAGAAUCCUAGGAUACAAUUCUCUAGAAAUUCUCGCUGUCCUGGCAGCUGCUGUGUUUGCUUUCCGAGCAGUGAACCUGAUGGAGGUGACAUCGCUGGCUGCAGCUGAAGCUGUACUUGCUGACCUUUCAACCCUGAAGGUUAUGCCUCUUCUUCAGAUCUUCCUGUUUGCAACUCUCACUUGACCUGCUUCAAGGAAGCGUGUGUUCCCACCACUGUUUAAUUGUCCGAAGAGAGAGGCUGCAAAGCAUCUGGGGUCUUCCAGCAACUGAACAGGAGAAGACAUAAAGCUGCAUUUUCCUCUCUCUGUUUUUCCUCUUCCAGGGUGCGUCUUAAGAAGAAACAAACUUGGACUUUUUCAACAAAACUGGAGAGCUAACAUCUACCACCUAAAAUUGGCUCUUUGUCCCACAAAAGAAUCUUUAACACCAUUUGAAAAACUAUCAAUCAGUGCAACUACAAGCUCUAUGCAAAUAAGAGGCUAUAAGGAAAUAGUUACAAUGAACAUUUACUUAUGUUUUAAGUGUUAGGUUUUUUUUCUUUUGCUUCACUUUUUACUUGUAUUUAAUAAAUAUUAAAAAAAAACUUCUUUAAUACCCAAUGCACAACAAAAUCCUGAACACAAAUUACUGUUAAUAUUGUGGCAGUAAAAAAUAAUUAAAAACCCCAGAUGAUGUUUAUACUGUAGUAAAAUGGUGAGCGCCCAGGGCUUCCUGGAGUUUUGGUAGGGUCCAAUUUUGAAAAUUUCUUCCCAACUCUGUUUUAGUUUGUGUAAGCAAUUUCUUCCUAACAGAUUUUUCCUUUGUCCUUGGAUCACUGGGACUAGUAACUUUUUUCUUUUGGCACAGAAUCUACCACCUGGAUGGGUUCUGUGGCGUAGACACACGGGGUCACUCCUGCAUUUGCUAGUGAACUCAGUCCUGUUUUGCACUGUUGAUACGUAGAUUCAUUGAUCACAGUAGCUAAAGCCCCUGUAUCUAUUUACAUAAGUACUGACUGAUUGUUUAACUCUACUGUUACUUCAUAAGGUCCCACUUUCUUCUCUUCUUGACAGUAUGUAGCCCGUAUCCCUUCCUCUGUAUCUUCUUCCCCCCAAGGUAAAAUGUCCUCUGCUUUCUUCCUUUUCCUCUGGUCUUUUGGAGUCUACCUUCCUGGCUUGAUUGAUAGUCACCUUUGCAUUUUCUGGUUACAUGUCCAAUCUUGAGGCUUUUUGUGACACUGGUAUUUACAGACUAUGUUAAAUGAGCUCCACAGCAGAAACACUUUCAAGAGCCUGCAUCCCUUUCAGCUGGUUUUGCAUUUUGUUUAGUGAGUCAGUCUGAUCGUGCCUGUAUUCUAAGUGCAAAUCUUCUAAGUUUUUCACUGCUGCUUCCAUUGCUGUUGCUAAUUCUAUUGCUUUGGGCCAGGUUAAGUUUCCUUCUGCCAGCAAUCCAUCUUUGAAUUCUCUCGUUAUUAACAUCACAAACCAGUCCAUCCCAUAGCAUAUCCACUGGGCCAAUUAACUGAAUAGUGCUCAUUUGAAAUCUUUUUAGCUCUGCCACAUGUACAGCUACAGUUUCACUUUGCCUCCUCAUUCUACUGUAAAGUGUUUUACAGUAAUGUUUGGUUUUGGUGUGAAGUGCUCUGGUAAAACCUUCUUCAUGUCUUCUAAACUUGUAUCUCUGGGUUACUGAGGCUGUAACCAACUCCUUGACAGAAAGUAAAUUUUAUUGCCACAGAACUGUUUGUCCUUAUUUGCAAGAAAAUUGUGGCCCAGUCUUUGUAAGUAUUUCUGCAUUAAAUGCCUUAGUUUUCCCAUAAAUUACAUUCUAAUGUUGUUUUCAGUUUUGAAAAGAUAAGCCUACUUGCAGAGUGGGAACCUGCUGCUUUAUUCAACUUUAUCACAGAAUGGCAGGGAAAAAAUCCCACUGGAUAAAACAGGAGGUUAAGAAGGGAUGGAGCCAGGCUCCAUCCAUCCGGGUAACCUAGUUAACCCUAUCAUGACUGCUUUAUGGACUAUACUUUCCUAACAAUUUUAUACAGUUCUCACAGCACCCUAUCUCUAGUCUGGAUCUCAAAGUAGAGAGCUGCUGGUUUCUCCGGGGUUCAUAAUGCUCCUGGUUGAAGGGGCUUUUAAGUCAUAACAGUUGUCUCCUAUUACCAAGUCUCCAUUGCUGAUGUGAGGGAUAUCUAGGUUCCCUCUUGGAGAUAAUUAAUAGGUGUAGGACUUACUUUGGUCAAAAGGGGGGGGAUCCUAAAUCCACUGCCACCUCCUCAUUUUUUUCCCUUCAGUUAGAUUCAGAUAAGAUUCCUAGCCCUUGAUUUUUUGCAGCGGUAAGAAUCAGGAAUACAGCGAUACUUUAAAUAUUUAACGUGAUUCUCCCCUACCAUCGUCUCUCUCUUGCUUGCUCUCUUAAGUAACUCAAUAGCUGCUAAAGGAAUUUUUCUAAAAUUUCCUCAAAAAAAUAAUCUCUGGGAUUAGAUUGAUGUUGAAAUUUUUCAUGCUCAGUGAGGACUUUUUCAGAAAAUUAUAGGCAUGUGAAAUUAAGGUGCUAUGAAGGCCUGACAAGGACUAUAUAUUUUGUAUACAUUACAUUUGCAUGUUCAAAUACUACCUUGUGCUGCAGGUGUCAAUUUCAUUGUCAGACCUGUUCAAAUGUGUAUGAUUUAUAUUUCUCUUCAGAAGGUCACAAUCUUUGCAGCACCAAGUGCUACAUUGGCAAUUUAUCAAGAGUCCAGUGGGCAUAGCUGAUCUGCAUUUACAUUUACAUUACUUUACGUGAAUUUGCUGUCAAUUUGUAUUCUCUUAAUGCUGCAAUAAAACAUGCUAUAUUGAAUAAAAAUUGGUUUUACUAAAC